rnacentral:rRNA from 1 species
UACGUAGGGUGCAAGCGUUGUCCGGAAUUAUUGGGCGUAAAGAGCUCGUAGGCGGUUUGUUGCGUCGGCUGUGAAAUCCCGAGGCUCAACCUCGGGUCUGCAGUCGAUACGAGCAAACUAGAGUGUUGCAGGGGAGACUGGAAUUCCUGGUGUAGCGGUGAAAUGCGCAGAUAUCAGGAGGAACACCGGUGGCGAAGGCGGGUCUCUGGGCCGGAUACUGACGCUGAGGAGCGAAAGCGUGGGGAGCGAACAGG